AGUUUUGUGAAACCCUGCACAGAAUAAGUAGAUAUUCAUUAUAUGUUAUGCUGAAUGCUUGUGCUUUGAGUGAUAUUAAAUAUGAGUUUUUUUAAUAAUUGUACAGACAUCUAACAUCAAUGGGCGAUGAACAGCAGUUCUCCACGGCCUUCCACUCUUCCUUGAAAAGGACCUUACUGAUUUUUACAAGACAUGUUUUGACUAUGAUGAAGAAGAGAUGUCAGUCGGCCUAUUGACCGUGAUCCCUGAGCUGAGGACUCUAGAGCCAUACCUAACUCACUGCAUUUAAUGCCACAUCUACUGCAAUCAUUUUGGAAGGUACAAUUGUAUUGGAUGAUCUGGAAAAUCCUCUCCAAGACAUAUGCCUGCUCUUUGGACUCAUUUAUGCUAUGAAAUUAUAGUAUCCUCCAGUACUGAAGGACACCUUUGAUUUCAUUCAAUGGCUGAACCUAGAAUGCAAUCUCUGAAAAAUCUUCUGAUGUAGAAAGAUGUCAUUGUGGCGUGAUGGAGCAUUUUUCAGUGUAAUUGUUCAUGAUUGAUCAUUAUUGAUUUAGAAAAUGGUAAAU